UACGUAGGGGGCAAGCGUUGUCCGGAAUUAUUGGGCGUAAAGAGCGUGUAGGCGGCCAGAUAAGUCCGCUGUGAAAUCUCGAGGCUCAACUUCGAGCUGUCGGUGGAAACUGUCUGGCUAGAGUCCGGAAGAGGAGAAUGGAAUUCCUGGUGUAGCGGUGAAAUGCGUAGAUAUCAGGAGGAACACCUGUGGCGAAAGCGGCUCACUGGACCAUAACUGACGCUGAUGCACGAAAGCUAGGGGAGCAAACAGG
rnacentral:rRNA from 1 species